UUACGGUCAAAUCACGCUGAAACACCGGUUCUCGUUCGAUCACCGAAGUUAAGCAUCGUAGAGACAGGUUAGUACUUAGAUGGGGGACCGCUUGGGAACACCAGGUACUGUAAG
rnacentral:rRNA from 1 species